rnacentral:lncRNA from 1 species
UUUUUUUUUUUUUUUUUUAACCCUUUUCACCUAAUAAAGCCCUCCUUUUCUUACCCUUUCAUGGCCAUGGGACAGACAAGAACCCCAUCUUUGCUAAACCGAGGAAGAGUCCUGCAACAUUUUUGAUGCGCAGCGUGGGGGCUGAAGAGGGGAUUCAUUCAUAGCUGCUACACAUUCAUCUCUAUAUAAAACCUACUCUCCCCUCUGAAAAAGCAGCAUAACCAGUCAACGAACAAGUAUAUAGGAUUAGCACAUUAUGAAGAAUAAAGAGAAGCUUUCAGCUCUCUGUCAUGGAUGAUAUUUAUCACAUUUUCCACGACUGGCUCUAAUAACAGUGCAGAGAUAAAAUAGGCUUGAUGCAUCUUUCCUGUACGGAGAAUUUUACAACAGC